CUGGUUGAUCCUGCCAGCAAUCAUAUGCUUGUCUCAAAGAUUAAGCCAUGCAUGUCUAAGUAUAAGUAAAUAUACGGCGAAACUGCGAAUGGCUCAUUAUAUCAGUUAUAAUCUACUUGAUUGAGUCUCCUAUCUGGAUAACUGUAGGAAUUCUAGAGCUAAUACAUGCAAAAGGCUUGGAACGGGGGCAACCCUGCGAAGAGCGCGUUUACUAGUCCAGAAACCAGGUUGGGGCGCAAGUUCCAAUUUGUAGGUGAUUCAUAGUAAGGCUUCACGCGAAUCGGGGACAUUGGUUUCCGAUGAUGCAAACGAGUUUCUGCCCUAUCAACUUUCAACCGUAGUGUAGGGGACUACGGUGGUUGUAACGGGUACGGGGAAUUAGGGUUCGAUUCCGGAGAGGGGGCCUGAGAAAUGGCCACCACUUCCAAGGAAGGCAGCAGGCGCGUAAAUUAUCCAAUCACCAUUCGUGGAGAUAGUGACAAGAAAUACUGGUGUAGGGCCUUAACGGUUCUACGAUCGGAAUGAGUACAAUUUAAAAACCUUAGCGAGAAACAAUUGGAGGGCAAGUCUGGU
rnacentral:rRNA from 1 species